rnacentral:lncRNA from 10 species
UUAAAGCUCAUACCAUAGUUCUAGACAAAUAAUAUGUAGAUGCUCACUUGAUAAAAGGGUGUUUAUGUUGUAUUCUUUCCAUUUAAUUCUUGUAAUUUGAGUCUUACUUGCCUUCCUUAACCAUACACCAUAGAAACAUUAUAGAAUUUCUUUUAUUUUUUUUUCCAUCAACUUUUAUUUUAUGUCCCAGGGUACAUAUGCAGGAUAUGCAGGUUUGUUACAUAGGUAAAUGUGUGUCAUGUUUGUUGGCUGCACAGAUCAACCCAUCCCCUAGGUAUUAAGUCUGUCACCCAUUAGCUAUUCUUCCCUGAUGCUCUCCCCCAACCUUUACCCCAACACAGGCCCCUGCGUGUAUUGUUCCCCCGCACCAUAUAUCCAUGUGUUCCCAUCCUUCAGCUCCCACUUAUAAGUGAGAACAUGCGAUGUUUGGUUUUCUGUUCCUGCAUUAGUUUGCUGAGAAUAACAGCUUCCAGCUCCAUCCAUGUCCCUGCAAACAACAUGAUCUUGUUGCUUUUUAUGGCUGCAUAGUAUUAUGGACUUUUUUAUGAUGUAGCUUAGUCUUAAUAACAUUACUGGUUAUUUGUGCAUAAGAUCUUUCUGAUUUAAAUCUUUCCCCUAAAUAUUAAAACAGAAAUGGGAAAAUUUAAUCUUUCUGAAAAGAUCUCCUCUUUUUGUCAUGUGGUUUUUAAUGGCUUUUUAUUAAUACAGUCUCGAGCAGGGGUCUCCAACCCCCAGGCCACAGAUGGGUACCAGUCAGUGCCUGUUAGGAACCAUGCAGCACAGUGGGAGGUGAGUGGUGGGAGAGACAGCAUUAUUGCCUGAGCUCUGCCUCCUGUCAGAUCAGGGGCGACAUUAGAUUUUCAUAGCAGCAGGAACUCUAUUGUGAACUGCGCAUGCGAGAGAUCUAGUUUGUGCUCUCCUUAUGAGAAUCUAAUGCCUGAUCAUCUGAGGUGGAACGGUUUCAUCCUGAAACCAUUCCCCCAACCCACUCUGUGGAAAAAUUGUCUUCUACAAAACCAGUCCCUGGUGCCAAAAAGGUUGGGCAUUGCCAUUAUAUAUAAUAGCUGAAGCGUAUAUACCAGGACAUUUUUUUAAGUUCAAAAUAUAAUUAGAGGCAUCUCAUUAAGAUUUGUUUGUUUGUUUGUGACGGAGUCUCCCUCUGUCGCCAGGCUGGAAUGCAGUGGUGCGAUCUCAGCUCACUGCAACCUCCGCUUCUCGGGUUCAAGUGAUUCUCCUGCUUCAGCCUCCCGAGUGGCUGGGACUACAGGCAUGUGCCACCAUGCCCAGCUAAUUUUUUGUAGUUUUAGUACAGAUGGGGUUUCACCACGUUGGCCAGGAUGGCCUCGAUCUCCUGACCUCGUGAUCCUCCUGCCUCGGCCUCCCAAAGUGCUGGGAUUACAGGCGUGAGCCACCACUCCUGGCCUAAGGUUUUUUUUUUUGGAUUUUUUUUUUUUUAGAUGGCCUCACUCUGUUCCCCUAGGCUGGAGUGCCAUGGAAAGAUCCUAAUCUUUUCAAGGCUCACUGCAGCCUUGACCUCUUGGGGUCAAGUGAUCCUCCCUGAGUAGCUAGGACCACAGGUGCAUCACCUGUCUCAGCCUCCUGAGUAGCUCCUCAGCCUCCUGAGUAGCUAGGACCACAGGUGCAUCACCACACCCAGCUAAUGUUUUUUAUUAUUUUGGUACAGACAGGCUCUCCCUAUGUUGCCCAGGCCGGCCUCAAACUCCUGGACUCUAGUGAUCCUCCUGCCAAGUGCUUUGGGAGCACUUGGCCUCCAAAGUGCUGGUAUUAUAUGUAUGAAUCACUGUGCCCAGCCCUCAUUAAGAUUUAAGAGAAGACUUUUACUCCCUGCAUGCAAUGGCUUAUACUCACAAAUCUCAGCAAAUAUCAGUUCUUCAAAUGACAUGACACUGACAAGAAAUGGAAAGAACCGUUAAGAAUAAUAAAAAAGAGAAAGCUAACUUACAGUGACAUAGAAAGAAAUGAGACAUUUCCAGAGAAGUAGUCAGUUCUUGUGAUUAUUAAUUUUCUUCCUUCUAAACUGACUAAUAAAUAGCAUUUUCAGUUACUUGCACCUUUGAAGCUUUCUGUAGCAGCAUUGUUUCCAUCACUGUGACAUAAGUCUCCUGAGUACAACUCUUAAAAUUAACCCUUUUGAGGUUGCCAGUGGUUUCAGUUUCUUUAUAUUCUUCUGCCUGUCACGCAGAAAAGUAAAUCAUUUUCUCUAAAUUUGUCAUCUUUUCUACUCUGUUAUAGACCCGUCUUCAUAUUUUAAUUUCCCUUAACUUUUGCAGUCUGAACAAAUGAAGAAAUCACAUUUGUAUCUUAUUUUAAGUCCUCAUCAAAAAUUCAAUUCCUUUUGGAGUUUUUCAAAAGCUUUCAAUAGUGGAGGAGUUAUAAGGAGAAGCGAGGUCAGAUGGUUGACAGGAAGUGGGUAAAGUGUUUCAUUGAGGAAGAGUGUGGGGUUAAAGAACACACAAUAAAAGGAGACAAAGGAAGAAGUAGGGCCCCGUGGAAACAAGAGUCAUAAAGACAUAGAAGUGGAGUGCCAAAUGUCUAUAUUUCUUCACAAAGAUGACAAGAUUUGAAAAUAC